rnacentral:rRNA from 1 species
UCAUAAUAUUUAUAGCAAAUCAUAUAAGAAAGAGUAAUCUUUUUUUGAUGAUAAACCGAUCAAAUUUCUGCCCUAUCAUACUUUGGACGGUAAUGUAGUGGAUUACGGUGGUGAUGACGGGUAACGGAGAAUUAGGGUUUGAUUCCGGAGAGGGAGCAUGAGAAAUGGCUACCACUUCCAAGGAAGGCAGCAGGCGCGUAAAUUACCCCAAUCCUAAAACAGGGGAGGUAGUGACGAUAAAUAACAAUGAUUCAAUGAUAACAAAGUUGAAUUAAUUGGAAUGAGAACAAUAUAAAUCCCUUAUCGAGUAACAAUUUCAGGGCAAGUUCUGGUGCCAGCAGCCGCGGUAAUUCCAGCUGAAAAAGCGUAUACGAAUAUUGUUGCAGUUAAAAACGCUCGUAGUUGGAAUAAAAAUAUAAAAAUAACAAUAAAUUAACUAGUGUUAAUUUUAUUAUUUAUUUAUUUUUAUUUAUAUUUUUAAGUAAUUAAAAAUAUAUAUUUACUUGAAUAAUUA